CCUACGGGAGGCAGCAGUGGGGAAUAUUGGGCAAUGGAGGAAACUCUGACCCAGCAACGCCGCGUGAAUGAUGAAGGUCUUCGGAUUGUAAAGUUCUUUUCUAAGGGAAGAAGAAAGUGACGGUACCUUAGGAAUAAGCCUCGGCUAACUACGUGCCAGCAGCCGCGGUAAUACGUAGGAGGCAAGCGUUAUCCGGAAUGACUGGGCGGAAAGGGGGCGGAGGUGGUUUGACAAGUUGGUAGCGUAACUCCGGGGCUCAACCUCGGCACUACUACCAAAACUGUUGGACUUGAGUGCAGGAGGGGCAAAUGGAAUUCCUAGUGUAGCGGUGGAAUGCGUAGAUAUUAGGAGGAACACCAGUGGCGAAGGCGAUUUGCUGGACUGUAACUGACACUGAGGCACGAAAGCGUGGGGAGCAAACAGGAUUAGAUACCCCUGUAGUC
rnacentral:rRNA from 1 species